UAAUGCCCAUGAUCUAGAGAAGCGGCCCCAAUCUCUUACGGAAGGCAGCAGUAGGAAUCUUCGGCAAUUGGACGAAGUCCUAACCGAGGCAACGCGCGUGAAGCGAAGAAGGCUCGGUCGUAAGCUCUGUUGUUAGAGAAGAACAUGGGUGAGAGUAACUGUUCACCCCUUGACGGUAUCUACAGAAAGCACGGCUACUACGUGCAGCAGCGCGGUAAUACGUAGGUGGCAAGCGUGUCCGGAAUUAUUGGGCGUAAAGCGCGCGCAGGCGGUCUCUUAAGUCUGAUGUGAAAGCCCCCGGCUCAACCGGGGAGGGUCAUUGGAAACUGGGAGACUUGAGGACAGAAGAGGAGAGUGGAAUUCCAAGUGUAGCGGUGAAAUGCGUAGAUAUUUGGAGGAACACCAGUGGCGAAGGCGGCUCUCUGGUCUGUUACUGACGCUGAGGCGCGAAAGCGUGGGGAGCAAACAGGAUUAGAUACCCUGGUAGUCCACGCCGUAAACGAUGAGUGCUAAGUGUUAGGGGGUUUCCGCCCCUUAGUGCUGCAGUUAACGCAUUAAGCACUCCGCCUGGGGAGUACGACCGCAAGGUUGAAACUCAAAGGAAUUGACGGGGGCCCGCACAAGCGGUGGAGCAUGUGGUUUAAUUCGAUGCAACGCGAAGAACCUUACCAGCCC
rnacentral:rRNA from 1 species